CGUAACAAAGGUUUCCGUAGGUGAAGCUGCGGAAGGAUCAUUGUCGAAACCUGCACGAGCAGACAGACCCGCGCACCCGUUUCUCAAACACCCCUGCCGGCGGGGCGAGCUCUCCCGAAACACCAAGUACGGAGGGCGGACCCUUCCCGGCCCCAACGAACCCCGGCGCGGACCGCGCCAAGGACCACGAACAGAAGCGCGUCCCGCCCCUCCCGGUCCCCGGGAGGGGCGGCGGCGCCGCGUCGUUUCUAAGAAACAGAACGACUCUCGGCAACGGAUAUCUCGGCUCUCGCAUCGAUGAAGAACGUAGCGAAAUGCGAUACUUGGUGUGAAUUGCAGAAUCCCGUGAACCAUCGAGUCUUUGAACGCAAGUUGCGCCCGAGGCCUCCCGGCCGAGGGCACGCCUGUCUGGGCGUCACGCACCGCGUCGCCCCCCUCCCCCUCCUCCCUCCGCGGAAGGCGGGCGGUAAGGGGCGGACAGUGGCCCCCCGUGCGUCCUCGCGCGGCCGGCCUAAACGCAGACCCCGUGGCCGCGAACGGCCGCGACGAUUGGUGGUGUACCGGACUACGCAUCGCGUCGCGUCCCCGCGAGCCCCGGGAGCUCAACCCGUUGGGGUUCGGAGGGCCCCGGCCCUCCGAACCGUGCGACCCCAGAUCAGACGGGACUACCCGCUGAGUUUAAGCAUAAUCAAUAAA
rnacentral:rRNA from 1 species